rnacentral:tRNA from 1 species
GGGCGCUUAGCUCAGUUGGUUAGAGCGACUCGUUUACACCGAGUAGGUCAGGGGUUCGACUCCCUUAGCGCCCACCA